rnacentral:rRNA from 1 species
ACGAUGAAGAGUUUGAUCCUGGCUCAGGAUGAACGCUAGCGGCAGGCCUAACACAUGCAAGUCGAGGGGUAACAUAGAGAAGCUUGCUUUUCUGAUGACG